AUGGACCACGCGUCCACUGCGGUUGUGAGCGCGCCGUCCGCGCCCACCNUCGCUACGUGUUGUUAGCC
rnacentral:sRNA from 1 species